rnacentral:siRNA from 1 species
UGCAAAUCCAGUUCUUGUGUC